GUAGGUGGCAAGCGUUGUCCGGAAUUAUUGGGCGUAAAGCGCGCGCAGGCGGUUCGUUUAAGUCUGAUGUGAAAGCCCACGGGCUCAACCGUGGAGGUCGUUGGAAACUGGAGAACUUGAGUACAGAAGAGGAAAGCGGAAUUCCACGUGUAGCGGUGAAAUGCGUAGAGAUGUGGAGGAACACCAGUGGCGAAGGCGGCUUUCUGGUCUGUAACUGACGCUGAGGCGCGAAAGCGUGGGGAGCAAACAGGAUUAGAUACCCUGGUAGUCCACGCCGUAAACGAUGAGUGCUAAGUGUUUAGGGGGUUUCCGCCCCUUAGUGCUGCAGCUAACGCAUUAAGCACUCCGCCGUGGGGAGUACGGCCGCAAAGGCUG
rnacentral:rRNA from 1 species